rnacentral:rRNA from 1 species
ACGGGAGGCAGCAGUGGGGAAUAUUGCACAAUGGGGGAAACCUGAUGCAGCAACGCCGCGUGAAGGAAGACGGUUUUCGGAUUGUAAACUUCUGUUCUUAGUGAAGAAUAAUGACGGUAGCUAAGGAGCAAGCCACGGCUAACUACGUGCCAGCAGCCGCGGUAAUACGUAGGUGGCAAGCGUUGUCCGGAAUUACUGGGUGUAAAGGGAGCGUAGGCGGGAUGCCAAGUCAGCUGUGAAAACUAUGGGCUUAACCUGUAGACUGCAGUUGAAACUGGUAUUCUUGAGUGAAGUAGAGGUUGGCGGAAUUCCGAGUGUAGCGGUGAAAUGCGUAGAUAUUCGGAGGAACACCGGUGGCGAAGGCGGCCAACUGGGCUUUAACUGACGCUGAGGCUCGAAAGUGUGGGGAGCAAACAGGAUUAGAUACCCUGGUAGUCCACACUGUAAACGAUGAUAACUAGGUGUGGGGGGUCUGACCCCUUCCGUGCC